rnacentral:rRNA from 1 species
CCUUAUUGGAGAGUUUGAUCCUGGCUCAGGACGAACGCUGGCGGCGUGCUUAACACAUGCAAGUCGAGCGGUAAGGCCCUUCGGGGUACACGAGCGGCGAACGGGUGAGUAACACGUGGGUAACCUGC